rnacentral:rRNA from 1 species
CGCGCAGGCGGUCGGUCAAGUCGAGUGUGAAAGCCCCCGGCUCAACUGGGGAGGGUCAUUCGAUACUGAUCGACUCGAAGGCAGGAGAGGGUAGUGGAAUUCCCGGUGUAGUGGUGAAAUGCGUAGAUAUCGGGAGGAACACCAGUGGCGAAGGCGACUACCUGGCCUGUUCUUGACGCUGAGGCGCGAAAGCUAGGGGAGCAAACGG